GGAUUUCAGUAGGAAGUUACAGAAUAUGCACUGGCUGAAAAUGAAGCAGUGUGACCACUCCAAAACUAUCGCAGCUACAAACAGUAUUUUUAAAUUUUAAUUUUUUACUAUUACAUUUAUGUCACACCUUUCCUUCAAGGAGCUCAAGGUGGCAUAAACUCCCCAAUAUUAUUCUCACAGCAACCCUGUGAAGUAGGUUAGGCUGAGAGGAGCUGACUAGCCCAAGGUCACCUGUGAGCUACCCCAAUAGCGUCAAGAGCACAAAUUCUAAUGAAUGUGUAAUAAAAGGGUGUCUGAAGGGGCUCUUAGCAGACAACAUUUAAAAAAUUGACAAUGGGACUCUAUAUCCCAAGUCAGUUAAUAAGGGUUAUAAAUGCACUCCAGAUAUUCCUGGACUACAACUUACAUCAUCAUUGACUAUUGGCUGAGGCUUAUGGGAGCUGUAGUUCAGUAAUAUCUGGCAAGCAGCAUGUUGGCUAUCCCUGUUGCAGAUUAGGCCUUAAAUUUGGGAGUCCUGGGCCAGUUUCAAAUCCUUGCUCAGCAAUGAACCUCACUAACUAGAUCCGGGCAAAACCCCUCUCUUCUGGACAAACCUACUAUGUAUGGUUGACGAGGGAUAAAGAAUUGAAAAAAAUACACGACAAAAGUCAUAGCAUUAACAGCAGGCUCAUGUUCCAGAGUCUUAUCUCAAAACUGGUUAAUGUUCUCAUGCUUACAGAGUUGCUGUAUAGUUUCUGCAGAAUAAUUAUUUCUCUGUCCCUCACCCCCUCACACAUAUACUGUACACAAAGGUGCAAUUCUGUACUUAUUAAAAACUGGUCAUUCCAAAGCAAGCAAACUUUAAUUAAAUAUUCACAUGGAAAUUACUAUGCAGUAAUUAGAUAUUGUGCAACCAUGACCUAGCUCUGCUGUACUUACUGGGGCAGCUUCAGACCACAAGCUAGGUUCUGUAUUCCCAUAUAUGUUCUCUAGGUGACAACUAGACUGCCACUUUUACAAUCCAUACAAAAGAUUUGAAACAGAAAGAGGCAAGUUGUGCAAAGCUCCUCACAUGUUUCAGGCUUAAGAAGUUGACAGCUGUCUGCUUUCAUAAAGCUAAACUUUGUGCCCCAGACAUUUUCAUGAACAAUCUUCUUAGGGUCUGCAUUACAAAUAUCUGUAAGUGCUAAGAAUUUUUGGCUUGCAGCUAUAGAAGUAGCAGGAUUGCACCAAGUUUGGCUGUAUAGAAACAGACUGCAAAUACAACAAAAUACUUCUCUAUAUUGGGUCAGCUUAACCAUAAUGGAAGGGUGGGUAAAUUCCAUGUUAGGACCAGGAGAUGAGUCUGGGCUUGCACUGCUUCUGACAACAUUACAUGCCCACAAACACAUCCUUUGCAACAUCACACGAUGAUCAGGGGAAUGCACAAUAUAUAAACAGGAAACUGACAAUACUAAACUUGUUACUUGACUAUUUCACAGGAUUAACUAAUAGUACAAACUGAAUUCCAGUUGUACUACACAAUGGGUCUGCCUGGAGAUGUUCGACCCAUGCAUAAAAUCCACACACUUAUUGAAAUCAGCACUAAGAAAUGAAAAUGGCAUGAAUUGGUGUUCAGGAGAUUUGACAAUGGGAGGUAUGAGGAUGACCUAAAUUUCUAGUGUUUUGGUCUCAGCACCAGUUGUGUGGUUUAUUACUUAGAAGUAAUGAGAUUCAGGCAAGUUUUUAAUUGAAUUUGUUUAUUGAAUCCACACUAUAAAGUAUAUUAAAAAGUAUCCCCAAAUGCUACUUGGCAAAAUUGUUCUAAGAACUCCAGAGGCUAGCUGAGCUGCUAUUGGUAUCUAUAUCAAAUUCACCCUCUGUGAAAAUGGCUGACAUUUGUUUUUGUAAACAACUAAAUCCAGUGACUACAUGUAUGUUGACGUGAACCUGACCCAGGGGAGCUAGCAAACAGAGUAAGAAUGGCAUUCUCAGGUGAUAGUUACGUUGGAAUGAACUGCAGAAAGCUCUAAAGAAGGGAAGAGGUACACUGGGAUGCAAAUAUUUGAUGGGUUCAAGACACAGUGGGGAAAUAUUGAAAAGGGCAUCUAGCUCUGAAAAAAAUAUGAAAGAACAUGAGGAAAAUAACUAGAAAAACUAACAUAGAUGAGAAAACAAUAGAUACAGAGUGCUAUAAGGGAGAAAAGGUUGUGGGAGAUUGUAGAUAGAACAACGAAUACACUUUGCAGUGAAUGAGUCAUGAAUUUCCCUCUCAAGUCUGUAUGGGGCGAUGUUAAAACAUUUACAAGGUCCUUAAAGCAGCAAAUAUAUGAUGUAUUCAUUUGAAUAAAUAUGAUACUUGUCUGGUUUAGAGUUUUUUGCUUUUAGCACUCAGGAGAGCAGCCUGACUGUUGGAAGACCAGGAGUACAGGGCACAGCUUAGCUCACUUGCAUCUUCUCAGAGCAGAGCCACACUCUGCAGAGCCACACUCUGUGUAAACUGCCCAUUGCUAUGAACGUCUUCCUAGGUUUGCUUUUUGCUUUUCUUUUGGCAUGAAUGCUAGUGUGGGAAAUGCAGAAUGCAACAAGUGAAGCAAGUUGUUGUUGAAUAUUGAAAGACUUUAGUAGAGGUGGUAAAUCCUCUGGCAUCUAGCUGUUUCUUAGGUGUCCUACUGCAUUAAUCUCAAUCCCAUGGGGCUUCUACAGACCGUAGCAGCAGUUUUUAUGGUUCUGUGAGAAGUAAUUUUGCAGCAUUGAUUCCCCCCGUCAAUAAAACAUAGUGUCAUGCCUUGAAAAAUACACUGCUACAGCUUCAUUACUUUUAGCAGCUUGCUCUUCAGCAAGUCAUGUGAUGCUGCCCUUCACUCAGAGGUCCUAAGACAGGGCACAGAAGCAAAACCACAAUGAAUUCAAUAUAAAAUCUGAACAAAACAAAUAAUACAUUAAAUCAGCACCAUCUAUAAAAGCACAUAUAAUGUACCUCAUCAAAAGCCUGAACAAAGAGGUACAUCUUAGCCUGUUGAUGAAAGGGCUGUAAGGCUGGAGUUCUUAACAAAGUAAUGCGGACAGAGAACAGAAAUGCAAGGCCUGAAGAAAGGAACAAAGAGGUUUUGUCUUUCUUCAGGCCCUGUACAUAGCAGUGAGACAUUCAAGUAAAUAAACAGAGGAAAGCCUCCCUCAAAUCCACACAGCCAACCAGGGCACAUGCUACCUCAGCAAAGAUCUUGCCACUCUACUUGGUUGCUAAACAACACCUCUGCCCUUGUGGUUAGUUGACUAACACUAACAGAACAAACCCUUAAAUUGCACACAGAAUGGUCUCUUCUGUUGCAGUUCCAACAGGAACAUAACACACCGGGGGGCGGGGUGUCAUUCCAUACAUACAUGGGAAUUUGUUCAAAUGGCAACUUAGAUGAUACGUAGGGGAAAGGGUGCUUUGGAUAAUGGGAAAAACUAUGCAUAAAAGGGGGCACUUUUCACACUAUACAUUACACUAUAGGUAAAAGGUCAAGGACGCCUGGAUGGUUAAGUCCUGUCAAAGGCAACUAUGGGGUGUGGUGCUCAUCUCGCUUCAGGCCGAGGGAACUGGCAUUUGUCCGCAGACAGCUUUCCAGGUCAUGUGGCCAGUUUGACUAAACUGCUUCUGGCACACGGAAAUGCAAUUUACCUUCCCGCCACAGCAGUACCUAUUUAUCUAAUUGCAUUGGUGUGCUUUCGAACUACUAGGUUGACAGAAGCUGGCACAGAGCAACUGGAGCUCACUCCGUCAUGCAGAUUCGAACCGCCGACCUUCCGAUUGGCAAGCCCAGGAGGCUCGGUGGUUUAGACCAGAGCACCACCUGCGUCCCACAUCACACUAUAUUAUGCAUAUGGGACACUAUCCUACUGUAGUCAGGAAAGGCAGAAUAUAAAUCUGUACUCACUCUGGAAAGGAAACUGGAGAAAUGAAAUAACUUUUUGAUUUAUUUAUUACAGUCUCAAAUUAAUGUGUCUCAAGUGUGAGGUCUUUGAAGUUUUGGAUGGGAAAAGACCUUGCCCAAAGAGGUAAUGUUCCUAAGGCUUCUUGGUGUUCAUUAACUUUGUUUGGAGCACGGUGAUGAAGUUGAGUGGGUGCAUGUCAUAUAGUACCAAUAUUAGAACAGUCAGCACACUUUCAGUAGCAUAUGACUCAUCCCAUCAUUGAAACAGCUUCGAAUGAAGUUUGCUGCUGUAGUAGGCAGAAGCUUAACCAUUCUAUUUAGUGUGUCAGCUAUCUUCCAUGAAAAAGAAAACAACAGCAGCAAAUUGUCAUUUCCAUCUGUUUUGUCUUUUCCUACUGAAGAAGAUAUUCUCUUCUCUAAAAGUCCUCAGAUAAUGUUCAUAAAGCAUUUUGAUCAUUGGAAAUGUGAUACGGAUGGGAUAUGAGGAUGAUUCUCUUUUGACACUAUAUGCUCUGUAGCAGAUUGUGAAAACUAUUUUGAAGAUCUACCCCUCUGGAUACCUUAAAAGUGUCUGUUUUCCUUGGGUUCUUGGCUCAGUCUCUUUGGGGCCACUCCAAAGCCCUCUAGCCUAGUUCUUUUUUGUAUAUCUGCAGCAAGACUCGUGUAGAGUGAUGUAGGAGAGAAGUUAUGAGAGGAAACUGGAUUCAUUAUUUGUGAAAUGUUGGAGUAGCAGUAGGAAAUUCUGUAGUAGUAGGAACUGUGAAUUUCUCAAGACAAAUGGGCAUAAAGUUUAGUAGCCUUGUUUUAAUGUUGCUCCAGCAGAAGAUGGGACAUCUACAUUUCAGGUCAAGACAUCACUCAGGAGAAUUUCAUUUGUGGUCUAGGAAUUAAACAGCUUUGAUCAGAGCACAGAGUUGCUGUAGAAGUGAUUCAAUAUGUCUCAAAAGUCACUGGCUGGACUGAAAUGUAACAGUAUGUAUGGAAGCUGCAUGUCACAGCUCUUGAACAAUCUUCAAAGUUAAUACGUAUAGUGAGGAACAGAACAGGACAGAAGAAUAUAAAGACUCAGACACAAGGAUUGAUGAUAGAAAUUUGUGGCUCCUUCGGUAUAGUGUUUGAAAGAUUUAUGUAUUGUAUGGGUCCUCUCCGUCCCGCACCAUUCAAACGUAUUUCAACUUGAUCUUCUUUAGAAACUGGGUGAAUGGGUUAGAUAAUAGUAGUGGGAUUUAAAAGCAACAACAAUCCAGAGCAGUUGGUCUUCCCUAAACAUAUCCACUCCUAACCAUACACAUCAGAUUGAUAGGUCAUUAGCUGGUAAGUGGUGUCUUACCAAGCUGAAUUGCAGAUGUAUAUUAGAAACAAUCAAAGUCACAAAACAGAUUGGAAAUCAGCAUCUGUUUUUCUCCAAAAGCUACGCAUUGUAGACUAUUCCAAAUCCAUGCUGUUUCUUUAUUUCCCAAGGAUUUCAGUGCAUAUAAACUAGUUUAAAUCCUCCAAACAGGGCUUGAAUGUGCAGGAAGUUGGAUACAACUACUUCUGGUUGUGCCUAGUUAGUACCUAAACCAGGGCUGGGAGCCUCAAGAUGUACUUAAUGGUUUACAGCCCCCAUCAUCUCUGACCAUUAGUCACACUAAUUGGCUGUAGCCAAUGGGAAUUGUGGUCCUGCAACAUCUAGAGGGCUUCUAUUCUUUACAAAUGUGCUAUUAAUAUGGAGAAGAAUGGCAGAAAACCAGAGAAUGUAGGAAUCCAAUGUGUCUGAACAGCACUAUUUGUUGGUUGGUUUGUUUGACAAAUUUAUAUAUUACCUUUAUUUAUGGUUCAGGGGAGCUAACGCCCAUAAAUACAGAAAGCAACC